GAAAAAUAUAUCCCCCUCCUCCGCCUCCCGCCGACCACCUCGUCUGUGACUAGCCGCGCCACCCCACCUCCCUGCACGUAGCUUCCGCGGAGGCCUCUACCAGUUCCGGCGCUCCGCUCUCAUGCGCCGGCACGAAAGGACGUCGCGGUGGCCGAGGCGGCAGGCUGGCUUUUCCAGCCGCACGCGCGCGGUGUAAUAGCUCGCUCCGGCGACCUCUGCCUCGCCUCUUGCUACUUUUCUAGAAGCUUCGAGGAGGUUCUACAGCUCCCCCCGCUGAGCUUCUCGUCUCUUUCUAGGUCAUUGAGAGCAGCACGCGCCGCGGAGCGCACUAAUUUUUCUGGAAUUCCGAGAAUCUCACGCACGGGCUAGGCCUAGAGCUCCUUUUGUUUCCAAGCGAUUGGUGGAUUUGUUUGGGGAAUCCAGUUCCUCUUAUGCCCGAAUUUUGUUGGCGGAAUCGGUUGGCCAGAGGAGCAAGGUUAGGGCAGUGACGGGAAGAGAGACUGAUCGCGAUGACGUCCCUGUCGCGGACGAUCUCCCUGGCCGGCCCGAUGCAGCCGUCGGGGCCUCGCCGGAUUCUGAGGACGCAGACCGCCGUCAACCUCGGCGAGCCCAUCUUCGACAGUAAGGUGGUGCCAUCGUCGCUCGUGGAGAUCGCGCCCAUCCUUCGUGUCGCCAACGAGGUCGAGGCGGCCAACCCCCGCGUCGCCUACCUCUAUUGGGUAGAUCGUUCGGUUCCAUAACACGCUCAUCCACGCGACACACGGAGGCAGACACAUUGGUCACCUGGAAGGCAGAGCAGGAGCAGCUGCGCAAGGCGGAGCUCGGGAGGACGCCGCGCCCAGCGGACCAUGGGACGGCGCGCCUUGGGGGCCGGUGGGGUGGCACGUCAUGGGUGCCGGCAAGCGCGGCUGCAAGUGGCUUCUAAGGUCUGAUCUACCUGCAAUAAUCAAUAAUGUAUUAAUCCUACACUCAUGUAUCCAAAGUGAUAUUCUCACAAAUUACUGGAGUUUGGCUGCUCCCUUACAUAGCAAGACUGCUACUACUACUACAGAUUAAAUGUUGUAUACAUGUAGCCUAUACCAACAUAGAAGAGAUUAAACAUUGUCAAUUGGAUGUAAUUUUUUCUGUUUUGUGUACUGACAUAGCAGUAAUAUAA